AAUUUUAACAAAUAAAAGACUAGCAGAUAUCAGGAGCAACCAUUAUGGCUAAGACUGAGAUAGAUAGAGCUCCCAAUAUAGAGCUUUCCCCCUACUAGGGCUGAAAUCCAGAUGUCUUUAGAAAGGGCACACCUUUGAUUUACUGGAUAGUGGAGAAGUCACUAAGGUGCCUUGUAAGUGGGAGCCUAAGUGGGAGUUGCUAGAAGUUUCUGGGGUGCCAGGGGGGCCAUCCACAGAAAGUGGAGUCUUAAAUCAUCAGAGUGAACUCACUGAGUGUCAGAGGGAGCUGGUGGUGGCUGGGCACUGCUGGAACCAAAAUCUGGAGAAGCAGCCCUCUCUAAGUGCCCAGCAUGCUUGCAGGAUGGCCCUGGGAUUCUAGGACUGAAAAGAUGUGGGGAGCAGUGACUUGGUUUGGUGUGCAGGCCCAUACCAUCUGGGAAAUCCCGGAUAAUCCCCAGCCGAACACUUGAGAAAGUUGCAGCCUGCAGCAUGGGAGAAACCACACAGGGAAUAAGCGUGCAGGGGAGGGUGGAGUGUGCCCUACAACAGCCUAGAGAGUGAAUCAUACCAGAACGAGGAAAGGAAAAUCCCUUCCUCCUCUAGCGUCCCUCCAGAACCCUCUGCUGACAAGGCUUAACACUAGGCUGGCUAGCAAAGGAGAAAUAUUUACAAAAUCCAUCUUCAUUUAUUACAAAGUAGGCCAAAAUAUGGUGAAUUUGGAGCUAAGAGGAAAUAAAUCAAUAAACAGCAUAGUCUGCCCCUUUGAGUACUCACUGUCCAUAUAUACCUUCUACACACACUUGAAUGCCAUACAAUAAUAACUCUACAUUUCACCUAACAGGAUACUCAUCAUCUUCAAAAUGAGGAGAUGCAACAAUCAUUGCAUACAGUGCUGUGGCUAUAUUAAUUGCCCUUUAGAAUCAUCCCAGUUCCACUGGAUAGUCUGUUGCCCAAAGACUAAUUGUGAAUUUAACCUCUAGCAACUUGCGUAUAAAUUUUUUUUUAAUAGAAGGGAGCAAGAAGAGGAAAAUGUGAGCAUAUAUACAUAAGUACAUACGUAUGAAAAGCAAAAAAAGGAAAUCUGCAAAAUGACUACAGCCCUUUUUUCUGCAGUUGGUCACAAGGCCCUGAUAGUUACUUAUGGCUUCCUUCUUCUACUAUUCAUUGAUUUCACCCACCUGCAGCCAGAACGUGGUAGAGUAAUUCAAACUCUCAUUCCUGAAAGUUCCAAGUCCUCAAUUAUCCUGCCUUUUAUUUUGGUUUCUGUACUUUUCUACUACACUUUUCUAUUGCAUAUGGAGUACUAAUAUACACCCCAAACUGUCUCCUGGGUUACAGACAUAGUCUUCCUAGCUCCUAAUGUGUAAAGGCAACCCAGUUUCCUCUUGGCAAUAGGGAUCAGUCACUCCACCUAGUAGAGCAAUCCAUCUUUCUGCCUGUUGAUUCAGUAGCAUGAGGAGUCCAGAAUAGCCAAAUGGAAAUCUUUCUCCAAUUCAAUGGAACCAUUGUGUCUCAUGGUGGAAACCAUGUUCCCUUUAAGAACUCAAAUCUCUGAAAUGGCAGAGCUCAAAGAUGCCAGAAGAAGCAGCAAAUAUCCUGCAAGUGUGUUAUUAGGUGUUGCUAUGGUCUGAAUGUUGGUGACCUCCCAAAAUUUAUAUGUUGAAAUCUAAUCACAAACAUAAUAGUAUUAAGAAGUGGGGGCUUUAGGAAGUGAUUAAGUCAUGAGAGUGGAACCCUCAUAAAUGAGAUUAGUGCCUUGGGAAAAGAGGUGCAAGGGAACUGUUCACCCCUUCCUCCAGGUGAAGAGCCACAAGAAGAUGCCAUAUUGGAAGCAGAAAGCAAGCCCUCGCCAGGCACUGAAUCUGCUUGAUCUGGACUUCCCAGCCUCUAGAACUAGAAACAGAACCAAUGGGAUGUACAUAAAGAGGUUUAUUGUAAGAAAUCAGCACAUGUGAUUAUGGAGGCUGACAAAUCCCAAGAUCUGCAGGGGGAGGUGGCAAGCUGGAGACUCAGGGGAGCGUGUCUUGAACCAGAGCCAAUGUGGGUUUCCACAGACCACUAGGCAAGACACGUUGACUUCACCUCCACUCAUAUCUGCUGUACAGAAAACCCGACAUGAUUAAUCUAGCCUGCAAUCUGACAGAGACAGAACUGAAUAUAACCAGUUAUUCCUCAGGUGCCCCCAGUGAUUACCUGCUCUUCCAACAGAACAGAAAGGGUCUUACGGCCACUGGAUAAAGAGACCAUUCUGUGUUUCAAGGCUGGAGUUAUCCAGGAAUAAAGCUAUAUCUUCAAGC
rnacentral:lncRNA from 1 species